AUUGAACGCUGGCGGCAUGCCUUACACAUGCAAGUCGAACGGCAGCACGGGUGCUUGCACCUGGUGGCGAGUGGCGAACGGGUGAGUAAUACAUCGGAACAUGUCCUGUAGUGGGGGAUAGCCCGGCGAAAGCCGGAUUAAUACCGCAUACGAUCCACGGAUGAAAGCGGGGGACCUUCGGGCCUCGCGCUAUAGGGUUGGCCGAUGGCUGAUUAGCUAGUUGGUGGGGUAAAGGCCUACCAAGGCGACGAUCAGUAGCUGGUCUGAGAGGACGACCAGCGACAAGUGAAAUGAGAAACGGGGCAGACGCCGACGGGAGGCAGCAGUGGGGAAGAGGGCAAAAAGGGCGCAAGCAUGAGGCAGCAAUGCCGAGUGUAGGAAGACGGGCGUCGGGUGGUAAAGGAGUUGAAGCGGGGAGGAAGGGAGUAAAGGUAAGAAAUUUGGUGAUGGACGUGACCGGAAGAAGAAGAACAGGCUAACGCCGGG
rnacentral:rRNA from 1 species